GCCGUCGUUGGCCAGUGGCAAGCCCCUCUCGUUAUCUAUGAAGAGAAUGUCAUGUACGAGAGCUACGGAGGUUCAAUUCCUCCCGACGGCA